UACGUAGGGUGCGAGCGUUGUCCGGAAUUAUUGGGCGUAAAGGGCUCGUAGGCGGUUUGUCGCGUCGGGAGUGAAAACCUCGGGCUUAACUCGGGGCUUGCUUUCGAUACGGGCAGACUAGAGGUAUGCAGGGGAGAACGGAAUUCCUGGUGUAGCGGUGGAAUGCGCAGAUAUCAGGAGGAACACCUAUGGCGAAGGCAGCACUCUGGUACGUGACUGACGCUGAGACGCGAAAGCGUGGGGAGCAAACAGG
rnacentral:rRNA from 1 species